UACGUAGGGGGCAAGCGUUGUCCGGAAUCAUUGGGCGUAAAGCGCGUGUAGGCGGCUCGGUAAGUCCGCUCUGAAAGUCCGGGGCUCAACCCCGGGAGGCGGGUGGAUACUGUCGAGCUCGAGUCCGGAAGAGGCGAGUGGAAUUCCUGGUGUAGCGGUGAAAUGCGCAGAGAUCGGGAGGAACACCAGAGGCGAAAGCGGCGACCUGGACAGGCACUGACACUCAACUACGAAAGCGUGGGGAGCAAACAGG
rnacentral:rRNA from 1 species